CCUACGGGAGGCAGCAGUGGGGAAUUUUGGACAAUGGGGGCAACCCUGAUCCAGCAAUGCCGCGUGUGUGAAGAAGGCCUUCGGGUUGUAAAGCACUUUUGUCCGGAAAGAAAUUGCUCUGGCUAAUACCUGGGGUAGAUGACGGUACCGGAAGAAUAAGCACCGGCUAACUACGUGCCAGCAGCCGCGGUAAUACGUAGGGUGCGAGCGUUAAUCGGAAUUACUGGGCGUAAAGCGUGCGCAGGCGGUUUUGUAAGACAGGCGUGAAAUCCCCGGGCUCAACCUGGGAAUUGCGCUUGUGACUGCAAGGCUAGAGUGCGUCAGAGGGGGGUAGAAUUCCACGUGUAGCAGUGAAAUGCGUAGAGAUGUGGAGGAAUACCGAUGGCGAAGGCAGCCCCCUGGGACGUGACUGACGCUCAUGCACGAAAGCGUGGGGAGCAAACAGGAUUAGAUACCCUGGUAGUCCACGCCCUAAACGAUGUCAACUAGUUGUUGGGGAUUCAUUUUCUCAGUAACGUAGCUAACGCGUGAAGUUGACCGCCUGGGGAGUACGGUCGCAAGAUUAAAACUUAAAUGAAUUGACGG
rnacentral:rRNA from 1 species